GCCCAUCCCACCAAUGAUCCCAUCCUUCCCAGUGAUCCCAUCCAUCAUCCAAUGAUCCCAUCCAUCCCUGUGAUCCCCCCCAUCAUCCAAUGAUGCCAUCCAUUCCAGUGACCCCACCCACCAUUCGGUGAUCCCAUCCAUCCCAGUGAUCCCAUCCAUCCCAGUGACCCCACCCAUCAUUCAAUGAUCCCAUCCAUCCCAGCACCACCACCUCGGUGACCCCACUGAUGCCACCAGUGAUCCCACCCAUCCCACCAAUGAUCCCAUCCAUCCCAAUGAUCCCAGUCAUCACACCCACCAUUCAAUGAUCCCAUCCAUCCCAGUGAUCCCCCCCAUCAUCCAAUGAUGCCAUCCAUCCCAGUGACCCCACGCAUCAUUCAGUGAUCCCACCCAUCCCAGAGAUCCCAGUGAUCCCACCCACCAUUCGGUGAUCCCAUCCAUCCCAAUGAUCCCAUCCAUCCCAAUGAUCCCAUCCAUCCCAGCGAUCCCACCCAUCCACGUGACCCCACCAAUCAUUCUGACCCCAUGGAUGCCACCAGUAAUCCCACUCACGAUCCCACCCAUAUCGCCCAUUGAUUCCCUGACCCCACUGAUGAUCCCAUCCAUCCCACCAAUCCCACUGAUCCCAUGACCCCACCGAUGAUCCCAAUGGUGAUGUCACCCAUCGAUCCCAUGAUCCCACGAUGAUCCCAAUGGUGACGUGUCUCCCAUCCAUCCCAUAACCCCACCGAUGAUCCCAAUGGUGAUAUGUCUCCCAUCGAUCCCAUAACCCCACCGAUGAUCCCACGAUGAUCCCAAUGGUGACGUGUCUCCCACUGAUCCCAUGACCCCACCGAUGAUCCCAAUGGUGAUGUCACCCAUCUAUUCCAUGACCCCAACGAUGAUCCCAAUGGUGAUGUCACCCAUUGAUCCGGUAUCCCCACCGAUGAUCCCAAUGGUGACGUGUCUCCCACUGAUCCCAUGACCCCACCGAUGAUCCCAAUGGUGACGUCACCCAUCCAUCCCAUGACCCCACCGAUGAUCCCAAUGGUGACGUGUCACCCAUCCAUCCCGUAACCCCAUUGAUGAUCCCAUUGGUGACAUGUCUCCCACUGAUCCCAUGACCCCACCGAUGAUCCCAACGGUGACAUCACCCAUCCAUCCCAUGACCCCACUGAUGAUCCCAAUGGUGACGUCCCCCAUUGAUCCCAUAACCCCACCGAUGAUCCCAAUGGUGACGUGUCUCCCAUUGAUCCCAUGACCCCACCGAUGAUCCCAAUGGUGAUGUGUCUCCCAUUGAUCCCAUGACCCCACUGAUGAUCCCAAUGGUGACGUCACCCAUCCAUCCCAUGUCCCCACCGAUGAUCCCAAUGGUGUCAUGUCACACGUUGAUCCCAUGACCCCACCGAUGAUCCCAAUGGUGACGUGUCACCCAUCCAUCCCAUGACCCCACCGAUGAUCCCAAUGGUGUCAUGUCACCCAUUGAUCCCAUGACCCCACCGAUGAUCCCAAUGGAGACAUCACCCAUCCAUCCUAUGACCACACCAGUGUUCCCAAUGGUGACGUCACUCAUCCAUCCUAUGACCACACCAGUGAUCCCAAUGGUGACGUGUCUCCCAUUGAUCCCAUGACCCCACCAAUGAUCCCAAUGGUGUCAUGUCGCCCAUCCAUCCCAUGACCCCACCAAUGAUCCCAAUGGUGACCUGUCUCCCAUUGAUCCCAUGACCCCCUGGUGUUCCCAAUGUUGACGUAUCACCCAUUGAUCCCAUGACCCCACUGAUGAUCCCAAUGGUGAUGUCUCCCAUUGAUCCCGUGACCCCACUGAUGAUCCCAAUGGUGACGUGUCUCCCAUUGAUCCCAUGACCCCACGAUGAUCCCAAUCGUGACAUGUCUCCCAUUGAUCCCAUGACCCCACGAUGAUCCCAAUGGUGACGUGUCUCCCAUUGAUCCCAUGACCCCACGAUGAUCCCAAUGGUGACAUGUCUCCCAUUGAUCCCAUGACCCCACGAUGAUCCCAAUGGUGACGUGUCUCCCAUUGAUCCCAUGACCCCCCCAGCAAUCCAACCCAUCCUACAGAUGGUCCCAUUUAUCCCAGUGAUACCAGCAAUCCCACUGAUCCCACCGAUGAUGCCACCAGUGACCCAUUGGUCCCGUGACCCCACUGAUGAUCCCAUCCAUCCCGCACGUCCCAGCAGUCCCACCAAUGAUCCCAUCCAUCCCAGUGAUCCCUCUGAUACCAACUAUGAUCCCAUUUGUGAUCCCAUCCAUGUCACCAUCGAUCACAUGACGUCAGUGUUGAUCCCACCCAUCCCACCAAUCCCAGACAUCUCAGUGAUCCCAUCCAUCCCAGCGAUCCCACCGAUCCCAGUGAUCCCACCAAUCCCAGUGAUGAUCCCAUCCAUCCCAGUAUGAUCCCAUCCAUCCCACCAAUCCCAGUGAUGAUCCCAUCCAUCCCUCCAAUCCCACCAAUCCCAGUGAUUAUCCCAUCCAUCCCAGUAUGAUCCCAUCCAUCCCACCAAUCCCAGUGAUUAUCCCAUCCAUCCCAGUAUGAUCCCAUCCAUCCCACCAAUCCCAGUGAUGAUCCCAUCCAUCCCCGUAUGAUCCCAUCCAUCCCCCCAAUCCCUGUGAUGAUCCCAUCCAUCCCAGUGAUGAUCCCAUCCAUCCCAUCCAUCCCACCAAUCCCACUGAUGAUCCCAUCCAUCCCAGUAUGAUUCCACCCGUCCCAUCAAUCCCAGUGAUGAUCCCAUCCAUCCCAGUAUGAUCCCAUCCAUCCCAGUAUGAUCCCAUCCGUCCCACCAAUCCCAGUGAUGAUCCCAUCCAUCCCAGUGAUGAUCCCAUCCAUCCCAUCCAUCCCACCAAUCCCAGUGAUGAUCCCAUCCGUCCCACCAACCCCAACAAUCCCAGUGAUGAUCCCAUCCAUCCCAGCGACCCCACUGAUCUCACUGAUGCCACCCAUGAUCCCACCAGUGACCCCACCCAUGUCACCCAUUGAUCCCAUAACCCCACCGACGAUCCCAUCCAUCCCAUUGAUCCCACCAUUGAUCCCAACCAUCCCAUUGAUCCCAUCCAUGGUCCCACCCAUGUCACCCAUUGAUCCCAUAACCCACCGACGAUCCCAUCCAUCCAUGCGAUCCCAGCAAUGCCAUUGGUCCCCCCGAUCCCACUGAUGCCAGCAGCGAUCCGACCCAUCCCAUCCAUCCCUCAGUGAUCCCACCCAUCCCAACGAUCCCCCUGAUGCCACCCAUGAUCCCACUGGUGAUGUCACCAUCGAUCCCAUGACGCCGCUGCUGAUCCCAUCCAUCCCAGCUAUCCCAGUCUCAGUGUUCCCAUACAUCCCGCUGAUGAUCCCACUGAUCCCAUCCACUACGCCGAUCCCACCAAUGAUCCCACCCAUUCCAGUAAUCCCACUGAUCUCAUGACCCCAACAAUGAUCCCAUCCAUCCCAAAGAUCCCACUGACCCCAUGGAUCCCAGUGAUUAUCCCAUCCACACCAGCGAUCCCACUGAUCCCAUGACCUCACUGAUGGUCCCAUCCAUCCCAGCGAUGCUAUUGAUCCCACUGAUGCCACUGAUGAUCCCAUCCAUGACCCCACCCAUGUCACCCAUCGACCCCAUGACCCCAACAAUGAUCCCAUCCAUCCCAACAAUGAUCCCAUCCAUCCCAGAAAUCCCACUGAUCCCACUGAUGCCACCAGUGACCUCACCCAUGUCAACCAUUGAUCCCAUGACCCCACUGAUGAUUCCACCCAUCCCACUGAUGCUCCCAUCCAUUCCAGUGAUCCUAUUGAUCCCACUGAUGUCACCGAUGAUCCCAUUGGUGACCCCACCCAUGUCACCCAUCGAUCCCAUGACCCCACCAAUCAUCCCAUCCAUCCCAUAGAUCCCACCAUUGAUCCCACUCAUGUCACCCAUCGAUCCCAUGACCCCACCAAUGAUCCCACCCAUCCCAGCAAUCCCACUGAUCUCAUGACCCCACUGAUGAUCCCAUCCAUCCCAAAGAUCCCAUUGACCCCAUGGAUCCCAGUGAUUAUCCCAUCCACACCAGCGAUCACACUGAUCCCAUGACCUCACUGAUGAUCCCAUCCAUCCCACUGAUCCCACUGAUCCCAUGAACGCCACUGAUGAUCCCAUGACCCCACUGAUGAUCCCAUCCAUCCCACUGAUCCCACUGACCCUAUGGAUGCUGCUGAUGAUUCCAUCCCUGAUCCCACCCAUGUCACCCAUCAACCCCAUGACCCCACCGAUGAUCCCAUCCAUCCCACUGAUCCCACUGAUCCUAUGGAUGCCGCUGAUGAUCCCAUCCAUCCUAGCGAUCCCACUGAUCCCACUGAUGCCACUAGUGACCUCACCCAUGUCGACCAUCCAUCCCAUGACCCCACUGAUGAUCCCAUCCAUCCCACUGAUGUUCCCAUCCAUUCCAGUGAUCCUAUUGAUCCCUCUGAUGUCACCGAUGAUCCCAUUGGUGACCCCACCCAUGUCACCUAUCGAUCAAAUGACCCCACCAAUGAUCCCAUCCAUCCCACUGAUCCCAUCCAUGAUCCCACCCAUGUCACCCAUCGACCCCAUGACCCCACUGAUGAUCCCACCUAUCCCAACGAUCCCACCGAUCCCAUGGAUCCCUGUGAUGCUCCCAUCCACACCAGCAAUCACACUGAUCCCAUGACCUCACUGAUCAUCCCAUCCAUCCCUGCAAUCCCACUGAUCCCAUGACCCCACUGAUGAUCCCACCCAUCCCACCAAUGAUCCCAUCCAUCCCAGUGAUCCCAGUGAUCCCACUGAUGCCACCAGUGACCCCACCCAUGUCAUCCAUCCAUCCCAUGAUCCCACUGAUGAUCCCACCCAUCCCACUGAUGCUCCCAUCCAUUCCAGUGAUCCUAUUGAUCCCACUGAUGUCACCGAUGAUCCCAUUGGUGACCCCACCCAUGUCACCUAUCGAUCAAAUGACCCCACCAAUCAUCCCAUCCAUCCCAUUGAUCCCACCAUUGAUCCCACCCAUGUCACCCACCGAUUCCAUGACCCCACUGAUGAUCCCACCCAUCCCAACGAUCCCACUGAUCCCAUGGAUCCCAGUGAUGAUCCCAUCCACACCAGCGAUCCCACUGAUCCCAUGACCUCACUGAUCAUCCCACCCAUCCCAGCAAUCCCACUGAUCUCAUGACCCCACUGAUGAUCCCAUCCAUCCCAAAGAUCCCACUGACCCCAUGGAUCCCAGUGAUUAUCCCAUCCACACCAGUGAUCACACUGAUCCCAUGACCUCACUGAUCAUCCCAUCCAUCCCUGCAAUCCCACUGAUCUCAUGACCCCACUGAUGAUCCCACCCAUCCCAACAAUGAUCCCAUCCAUCCCAGAAAUCCCACUGAUCCCACUGAUGCCACCAGUGACCUCACCCAUGUCAACCAUUCAUUCAUCCCAUGACCCCACUGAUGUUCCCAUCCAUCCCACUGAUCCCACUGAUCCCAUGGAUGCCGCUGAUGAUCCCAUCCCUGAUCCCACCCAUAUCACCCAUUGAGCCCAUGACCCCAAUGAUCCCAUCCAUCCCAUUGAUCCCACCAUUGAUCCCACCCAUGUCACCCAUCGAUCCCAUGACCCCAACAAUGAUCCCAUCCAUCCCAACGAUCCCACUGAUCCCAUGGAUCCCAGUGAUGCUCCCAUCCACACCAGCGAUCACACUGAUCCCAUGACCUCACUGAUGGUCCCAUCCAUCCCUGCAAUCCCACUGAUCCCAUGGCCCCACUGAUGAUCCCACCCAUCCCAACUGAUGAUCCCAUCCAUCCCACCAAUGAUCCCAUCCAUCCCAGCGAUCCCACUGAUCCCACUGAUGCCACCAGUGACCUCACCCAUGUCAACCAUUGAUCCCAUGACCCCACUGAUGAUCCCACCCUUCCCAACGAUGCGACUGAUCCCAUGGAUCCCAGUGAUGAUCCCAUCCAUCCCAGAAAUCCCACUGAUCCCAUGACCCCACUGAUGAUCCCAUCCAUCCCACUGAUCCCACUGAUCCCAUGGAUGCCUCUGAUGAUCCCAUCCAUCCCAGCAAUACCUCUGGUCCCAUGGAUGCUGCUGAUGAUCCCAUCCAUCCCACUGAUCCCACUGAUCCCAUGGAUGCCGCUGACGAUCCCAUCCAUGGUCCCACCCAUGUCACCCAUCGAUCCCAUGACCCCACCAAUGAUCCCAUCCAUCCUAUUGAUCCCACCAAUCCCACCUACGAUCCCCCCAUCCCAUCAUCCCACCCAUCCCACCAAUUAUCCCAUCAAUCCCAGCGAUCCCACUCAUGCCAUGGACGAUCCACCCAUGUCACCCAUUGGUCCCAUGACCCCACUGGUGAUCCCACCCAUUCCACCAUCCCAUAAGCCCACCGAUGACCCCAUCCAUCCCAGCCGUAAUCCCAUCCAUCCCAUCAUCCCACCCAUCCCAUCCAUCCCACUGAUUCCACCCAUCCCACCAAUGAUCCCUCCCAUCCCAUCCAUCCCACCCCUCCCACCAUUCCCAAUGCGAACCCCACUCAUCCCACCCAUCCCAAAGGUGUCCCCACCCACCCCAUCCAUCCCACCGAUCCCAAUGGUGACCCC
ensembl:lncRNA